rnacentral:tRNA from 6 species
GGGCGCGUAGCUCAGCUGGUUAGAGCGCAUCAUUCACAUUGAUGAGGUCAGGGGUUCGAGUCCCUUCGCGCCCACCA